rnacentral:rRNA from 1 species
GACGAACGCUGGCGGCGUGCCUAACACAUGCAAGUCGAACGAGGUCCAAGGGAGCUUGCUCCCUGAAGACCUAGUGGCGAACGGGUGAGUAACACGUGAGAAACCUGCCCUCGAGUGGGGAAUAACCCGGGGAAACCCGGGCUAAUACCGCAUACGCUCCCCUGGUCGCAUGGCCGGAGGAGGAAAGUUUUUCGCUCAAGGAGGGUCUCGCGGCCUAUCAGCUUGUUGGCGGGGUAACGGCCCACCAAGGCUACGACGGGUAGCUGGUUUGAGAGAACGAUCAGCCACACUGGGACUGAGACACGGCCCAGACUCCUACGGGAGGCAGCAGUGGGGAAUCUUGCGCAAUGGGCGAAAGCCUGACGCAGCAACGCCGCGUGCGGGAUGACGGCCUUCGUGGUUGUAAACCGCUUUCAGCAGGGACGAAAAUGACGGUACCUGCAGAAGAAGCUCCGGCUAACUACGUGCCAGCCGCCGCCGUAA